UUGCCGGUGAAAGUCCGGUCGCGGUAAUCGCCAGAGAGCCACGUAGCAGGCUCCCAGUGCAGCCGGGUGACUGACUGUGCUGACGCGGAGUAUCCCUCUGAGAAGGAGGUGCAAAGCAGCGGUCCGUACCAUAA
rfam:Beta vulgaris subsp. vulgaris contig159285.1, whole genome shotgun sequence.